UGCUAAUCUGCGAUAAGCGUCGGUAAGGUGAUAUGAACCGUUAUAACCGGCGAUUUCCGAAUGGGGAAACCCAGUGUGUUUCGACACACUAUCAUUAACUGAAUCCAUAGGUUAAUGAGGCGAACCGGGGGAACUGAAACAUCUAAGUACCCCGAGGAAAAGAAAUCAACCGAGAUUCCCCCAGUAGCGGCGAGCGAACGGGGAGCAGCCCAGAGCCUGAAUCAGUGUGUGUGUUAGUGGAAGCGUCUGGAAAGGCGUGCGAUACAGGGUGACAGCCCCGUACACAAAAAUGCACAUGCUGUGAGCUCGAUGAGUAGGGCGGGACACGUGGUAUCCUGUCUGAAUAUGGGGGGACCAUCCUCCAAGGCUAAAUACUCCUGACUGACCGAUAGUGAACCAGUACCGUGAGGGAAAGGCGAAAAGAACCCCGGCGAGGGGAGUGAAAAAGAACCUGAAACCGUGUACGUACAAGCAGUGGGAGCACGCUUAGGCGUGUGACUGCGUACCUUUUGUAUAAUGGGUCAGCGACUUAUAUUCUGUAGCAAGGUUAACCGAAUAGGGGAGCCGAAGGGAAACCGAGUCUUAACUGGGCGUUAAGUUGCAGGGUAUAGACCCGAAACCCGGUGAUCUAGCCAUGGGCAGGUUGAAGGUUGGGUAACACUAACUGGAGGACCGAACCGACUAAUGUUGAAAAAUUAGCGGAUGACUUGUGGCUGGGGGUGAAAGGCCAAUCAAACCGGGAGAUAGCUGGUUCUCCCCGAAAGCUAUUUAGGUAGCGCCUCGUGAAUUCAUCUCCGGGGGUAGAGCACUGUUUCGGCAAGGGGGUCAUCCCGACUUACCAACCCGAUGCAAACUGCGAAUACCGGAGAAUGUUAUCACGGGAGACACACGGCGGGUGCUAACGUCCGUCGUGAAGAGGGAAACAACCCAGACCGCCAGCUAAGGUCCCAAAGUCAUGGUUAAGUGGGAAACGAUGUGGGAAGGCCCAGACAGCCAGGAUGUUGGCUUAGAAGCAGCCAUCAUUUAAAGAAAGCGUAAUAGCUCACUGGUCGAGUCGGCCUGCGCGGAAGAUGUAACGGGGCUAAACCAUGCACCGAAGCUGCGGCAGCGACGCUUAUGCGUUGUUGGGUAGGGGAGCGUUCUGUAAGCCUGCGAAGGUGUGCUGUGAGGCAUGCUGGAGGUAUCAGAAGUGCGAAUGCUGACAUAAGUAACGAUAAAGCGGGUGAAAAGCCCGCUCGCCGGAAGACCAAGGGUUCCUGUCCAACGUUAAUCGGGGCAGGGUGAGUCGACCCCUAAGGCGAGGCCGAAAGGCGUAGUCGAUGGGAAACAGGUUAAUAUUCCUGUACUUGGUGUUACUGCGAAGGGGGGACGGAGAAGGCUAUGUUGGCCGGGCGACGGUUGUCCCGGUUUAAGCGUGUAGGCUGGUUUUCCAGGCAAAUCCGGAAAAUCAAGGCUGAGGCGUGAUGACGAGGCACUACGGUGCUGAAGCAACAAAUGCCCUGCUUCCAGGAAAAGCCUCUAAGCAUCAGGUAACAUCAAAUCGUACCCCAAACCGACACAGGUGGUCAGGUAGAGAAUACCAAGGCGCUUGAGAGAACUCGGGUGAAGGAACUAGGCAAAAUGGUGCCGUAACUUCGGGAGAAGGCACGCUGAUAUGUAGGUGAAGUCCCUCGCGGAUGGAGCUGAAAUCAGUCGAAGAUACCAGCUGGCUGCAACUGUUUAUUAAAAACACAGCACUGUGCAAACACGAAAGUGGACGUAUACGGUGUGACGCCUGCCCGGUGCCGGAAGGUUAAUUGAUGGGGUCAGCGCAAGCGAAGCUCUUGAUCGAAGCCCCGGUAAACGGCGGCCGUAACUAUAACGGUCCUAAGGUAGCGAAAUUCCUUGUCGGGUAAGUUCCGACCUGCACGAAUGGCGUAAUGAUGGCCAGGCUGUCUCCACCCGAGACUCAGUGAAAUUGAACUCGCUGUGAAGAUGCAGUGUACCCGCGGCAAGACGGAAAGACCCCGUGAACCUUUACUAUAGCUUGACACUGAACAUUGAGCCUUGAUGUGUAGGAUAGGUGGGAGGCUUUGAAGUGUGGACGCCAGUCUGCAUGGAGCCGACCUUGAAAUACCACCCUUUAAUGUUUGAUGUUCUAACGUUGACCCGUAAUCCGGGUUGCGGACAGUGUCUGGUGGGUAGUUUGACUGGGGCGGUCUCCUCCUAAAGAGUAACGGAGGAGCACGAAGGUUGGCUAAUCCUGGUCGGACAUCAGGAGGUUAGUGCAAU
rnacentral:rRNA from 1 species